rnacentral:rRNA from 1 species
CCUUAAGGCCAUACCACCCUGAGCACGCCCAAUCUCAUUUGAUCUCGGAAGCUAAGCAGGGUCGGGCCUGGUUUGUACUUGGAUGGGAGACUGCCUGUGAAUACCAGGUAAUCUAAGCU